AAUGGUUCCAACUUAAUAAUAGGCAAUGUUUUCACCUUAACAAUGACACCUUGAAGUGCAAUUACUUCAUCCCAUUUGCUUUCCAAGUGCAUAAUUGACAGCAACAUAAAAAUAAGCAACCUAACCUAAUAGCUCAUUAGUCAAAUUCAAACCCUCACACAACCCCUCAUUCAAAAAUUUCUGAUAUAAAAACAAUAAAAGCAACCUAACCUAAUAG
rnacentral:misc_RNA from 1 species